GUGCUGUGAUGAUCACUUAUCAACACAUCAUUCUUAAUGUAAUGUGAAGAAUUCUCAAUCACUGAGCACA